CGUUGAGGUAAGUGUUGCUCUGCCAGUUUUGGCCCCAGUUUCUUGACAUGGCUUGCCACCCUGUUUUCGAGCCUUUGAUUGAAACUGAGUGAACAUCUCCGGCACCACCAACAUUGGUGAUCAGGACCAGGUUGAAGUAGGAGUGGCCGUUGAUGGUAAAUCUAAUCCCUCCCUUCUUAACACAAGGCACCCUGUCAAAAUCAAGAGCAUUUGCAUUGGUUAAUGGCAGACUGAUUAAAAAUUAACUCAGAGCUGUCAGCAGCAAUGGAAUCAACACUAACUGGCCUAACAUUUGGCACUCCUCUUUCCUUUGAACUGAGACUUGACCCUGCUAAUCACUAGGUGAUUAUUUUCUUAUUCAGCUGUUAGCAAUGUGAUUUAAAUAGUCAUUAAGUAUUAAGUACAAUUAAGCCAUGGCCCAUUUAGAAAGGUUUCUUUAAAUAUCGAUAGCUUACUUGUCUAGCUAAUCUACUCAGAGAGUAUUUGUCUACGCGAUCUGCGUUAUGUUGCAAACCGUGGUUUCUGGUCUUGAAACGCGGUUUAACAAGGAGCAGGAGUGGGACUAAUAAAAUUGCCAGAGGCAAAAGCUAUACCAUCACUGUUGAACAAGAAAGAAGAAGAAGUUGAUUUACCUUCUAAAAGCUACAGGCACAAUUCCAGCACGGUACUGAGCAAUUUGCAAGAAAGCAGGCUCAGCCAUGUCAAAAUGUUGGAGAGGAGGAUUGCACCAUCCACCAUUGUUGUUAGGUUGAGAAGGGUUAGGUGGGCAAAAAUUUGUAGCAGUGACAGUGAUGGUACCGGGGAGACACCAUUUAGGGUCAUCAUCACAUCUCAUUUCAUAACAAGAACCACAGCUCAAACCAUUGUUGAACAAGGCAGUGCUUAGGGCUGCAGUGCUAGUUCCAUAACCCUGACUGUACAAAUUUCCAUAUCCACAC
rnacentral:lncRNA from 1 species